rnacentral:lncRNA from 1 species
GACGGCACUGAGCCCUCCCACAUGCACUAUGCACUAGAUGAGAAUUAUUUCCGAGGAUAUGAGUGGUGGUUGAUGAAAGAAGCUAAGAAGAGGAAUCCCAAUAUUACACUCAUUGGGUUGCCAUGGUCAUUCCCUGGAUGGCUGGGAAAAGGUUUCGACUGGCCUUAUGUCAAUCUUCAGCUGACUGCCUAUUAUGUCGUGACCUGGAUUGUGGGCGCCAAGCGUUACCAUGAU